rnacentral:rRNA from 1 species
GACGAACGCUGGCGGCGUGCUUAACACAUGCAAGUCGAACGGAAAGGCCCUGCUUUUGUGGGGUGCUCGAGUGGCGAACGGGUGAGUAACACGUGAGUAACCUGCCCUUGACUUUGGGAUAACUUCAGGAAACUGGGGCUAAUACCGGAUAGGAGCUCCUGCUGCAUGGUGGGGGUUGGAAAGUUUCGGCGGUUGGGGAUGGACUCGCGGCUUAUCAGCUUGUUGGUGGGGUAGUGGCUUACCAAGGCUUUGACGGGUAGCCGGCCUGAGAGGGUGACCGGCCACAGUGGGACUGAGAGACGGCCGGGACGCCGACGGGAGGCAGCAGUGGGGAAGAGGGCACAAUGGGCGGAAGACGGAUGCAGCAACGCCGCGUGCGGGAGGACGGCCGUCGGGUUGUAAACCGCGUGCGCCGGUGAAGAAGCGUGAGUGACGGUAAGGGGUAAAGAAGCACCGGCUAACUACGUG